AACCUAACCCAUCAACAACGCUACUCUCUCUCUGUUCUCUCUCUAAAAAAAUGCAUACCACCUCUCUCUAUCGUCUUCAACCUCCAUUGAUGAAGACUCUUCAACCUCAGUUGAGGAAGAUGAUGAAGACCCUUUUCUAAGGCCCAUAGUGAUUUCUGAAUUUUCCACAAGACUUCAAAUGAGGCAGAAAGCGCAAGAACCAACAGGUAGAAGGGCAAUAAAGGAAAUUAUAUGAAUUUGAAGAACGAAGUGGGUUUGUAGUUUUCUUGAAGUAUGGUAGAAUUAUAUAAUUGUUUUUAAAAAAAUUCCACGUAAAUUUGACUCGUUUCACUUUUCCCUUUUUUGGGUCGAACAAAUCGGGUCAUCGGCUCCGCCACAUCUAACGGCAUGUGCCGCCGCGAAAACGUCGCCGACAAGGUCGCCAUUUAGCUAACUUUUUUCACGACUAUUUAGACCGCCGCCGUGAAUUGCCGCUUGCCGUAUAUUAUUUUUUUUCUGUACUGAAACCAAAUUGUUAGAUCAAUGACGACAAAUGCUAAUUCAAAUCCAAAUCCUGUGAUGUUACCGGAGAUUGGACCAGAUGGCAUCGCCAGAGAAUCACCGGCUAUUGCUUACACUGAAAAGAUAAUUGAAGAAGAACAGCUUCAAUUGAGAAAAUAUAUUGCUGAAAAUUAUUCCAAGAUCCGUGAUGUCGAAAAGGAAUUCGCAAACCUGUCAAUGGAGAUGAAGCUUACUGCUGGGCCCAAAAAAGCAGCACUUGAACUCAUGAGACAGAAGAUAGAAAUGUCAACAGAGAGAAUCCGGGUUGCUAAGCUGAAGGAAGAACAAGCACGAAAGGCUGGGGAAGCAGCAUCACAGGCUGUUAAGGACGAGGAGGCGAUUAAACAAAAGCUUUGUGAGGAUUUGAAUAGUCUGGUUCUGGAGAGUAGUAACAGUCAGCUAGCUAGAUUGGAGGAACUGAAAAAACGGCUGGAAGCUUUGAAUCCAAGUAGAGCAUCCACUGCCUCUGACCAAAGUCCUGUGAGAUCUGUACAAAGCAGUAUGGCUCAAGAUGUUUCCUCAGUAAAGGAUACACUAGAAUCGUUGAGCGGAUCAUCUGGAAAUACAUUGAAAGAAGGAAAUGCUAGAAGUGGUGCAGCAGAAAAUGGACAAAACCAAUCGCAUUCUCUUGAUGAACCAAGAGGUAAGAAGAAAAUCAAUGUACAAGGAAGAGGAAAAGGAAUCGGCAUAAUUCCUAAAGGCCGAGGUUCAGCAGGACCCGGUUGGACUGGAGCUGGGUUUGAUGUGGAUGGAAGAAGUUGAUAGCAGAUUCUCUCACUGUUUAAGUUCAUUGGAAUAAGAAACUUGCUGAUUUCAAUGAGCUCUAAUCUUAAGGAUGUGAAGACCCCAUUAGAUCAUGCGAUCCAAAAGUACCGUUCUUUCGGAUUUGUGACGUUCCUUGAAAGAGAGGAUGCUUCAGUCGCCAUGAACAACAAUUAUACCAAUGAUAAUAUUUUUUUGAUUAAAAAUAAUUGUACAAAAACUAAAGUAAAAUCUAUCUUUAUUCUACUGCUACUUUUGUGCUACAAUUUUUUAUUUUUGUUUAUAGAGGAGUAACUUUUACAGAAACUUGGUAGGUAAAGAAAGGACCAAAAAAUAGGAUAAACAUGUUGGGCAACAAAUAAUAUUUUACUGCUAUUUUUAU